UAGCUUGCUACCUGACCUAGCGGCGGACGGGUGAGUAAUGCUUAGGAAUCUGCCUAUUAGUGGGGGACAACAUUCCGAAAGGAAUGCUAAUACCGCAUACGCCCUACGGGGGAAAGCAGGGGAUCUUCGGACCUUGCGCUAAUAGAUGAGCCUAAGUCAGAUUAGCUAGUUGGUGGGGUAAAGGCCUACCAAGGCGACGAUCUGUAGCGGGUCUGAGAGGAUGAUCCGCCACACUGGGACUGGGACACGGCCCAGACUCCUACGGGAGGCAGCAGUGGGGAAUAUUGGACAAUGGGCGAAAGCCUGAUCCAGCCAUGCCGCGUGUGUGAAGAAGGCCUUUUGGUUGUAAAGCACUUUAAGCGAGGAGGAGGCUACUUGGAUUAAUACUCUAGGAUAGUGGACGUUACUCGCAGAAUAAGCACCGGCUAACUCUGUGCCAGCAGCCGCGGUAAUACAGAGGGUGCGAGCGUUAAUCGGAUUUACUGGGCGUAAAGCGUGCGUAGGCGGCUUUUUAAGUCGGAUGUGAAAUCCCUGAGCUUAACUUAGGAAUUGCAUUCGAUACUGGGAAGCUAGAGUAUGGGAGAGGAUGGUAGAAUUCCAGGUGUAGCGGUGAAAUGCGUAGAGAUCUGGAGGAAUACCGAUGGCGAAGGCAGCCAUCUGGCCUAAUACUGACGCUGAGGUACGAAAGCAUGGGGAGCAAACAGGAUUAGAUACCCUGGUAGUCCAUGCCGUAAACGAUGUCUACUAGCCGUUGGGGCCUUUGAGGCUUUAGUGGCGCAGCUAACGCGAUAAGUAGACCGCCUGGGGAGUACGGUCGCAAGACUAAAACUCAAAUGAAUUGACGGGGGCCCGCACAAGCGGUGGAGCAUGUGGUUUAAUUCGAUGCAACGCGAAGAACCUUACCUGGUCUUGACAUAGUAAGAACUUUCCAGAGAUGGAUUGGUGCCUUCGGGAACUUACAUACAGGUGCUGCAUGGCUGUCGUCAGCUCGUGUCGUGAGAUGUUGGGUUAAGUCCCGCAACGAGCGCAACCCUUUUCCUUAUUUGCCAGCGGGUUAAGCCGGGAACUUUAAGGAUACUGCCAGUGACAAACUGGAGGAAGGCGGGGACGACGUCAAGUCAUCAUGGCCCUUACGACCAGGGCUACACACGUGCUACAAUGGUCGGUACAAAGGGUUGCUACCUAGCGAUAGGAUGCUAAUCUCAAAAAGCCGAUCGUAGUCCGGAUUGGAGUCUGCAACUCGACUCCAUGAAGUCG
rnacentral:rRNA from 1 species